rnacentral:lncRNA from 1 species
CCCACACAUGGCCAAAGGCCACUGUGUUGAGAGCGGCCUGGAAGAUGCCCUCACGUGGAAUAAGGAGGAGGGUUGGGGGGGCUGAGGGUCCCUUUUCUGGGGCAGGCUCCCCCAGGCCAUUUAUCUUGCCAGAGAGAAAGGCUGCCCCUCGGCCACAGGGACUGCCCUCCACCUCCCAUCUGAAAAAAGAGUUAUGCUGUACAGGUGAAGAUAUCGCUCACAUGAACCUCAAUGAACCUGUCAGCCUGACAUACAGGACCAACUAGCUGGUUGCUAAAAAGAAAAGAAAGGGAGAAGUGAGGAAGGGAAAGGUUUUCUGGCUCAUAUGAUGGUGAUGGAUUCAUUCUCCAUGAACUCUUCCGGCUAUCACAAAAGAAUGACUGGCUUUUACAGCAGAAAUGCUGAAAUAAAUCUAAACAAAGUAUCA